AGCGAACGCUGGCGGCAGGCCUAACACAUGCAAGUCGAACGGAUCCUUCGGGAUUAGUGGCGGACGGGUGAGUAACACGUGGGAACGUGCCUUUUGGUUCGGAACAACUCAGGGAAACUUGAGCUAAUACCGGAUGUGCCCUUCGGGGAAGGAUUAUCGCCAUUAGAGCGGCCCGCGUCUGAUUAGCUAGUUGGUGGGGUAAAGGCCUACCAAGGCUACGAUCAGUAGCUGGUCUGAGAGGAUGAUCAGCCACACUGGGACU
rnacentral:rRNA from 1 species